GGGCGCGUAGCUUAAUUCGGCAGAGCACUGACCCUUACCAAGUGAGAGAUGCCCGUUCGAAUCGGGUCGCGUCCA
rnacentral:tRNA from 1 species